GCUCCAGUGGCCUAGUGGUUAGAGCGUCUGCCUCAGAUGCGGGAGGUCGUGGGUUCGAUCAACCGGUUGAGUCA